rnacentral:rRNA from 1 species
UACGUAGGGGCUAGCGUUGUCCGGAAUCAUUGGGCGUAAAGAGCGUGUAGGCGGCCCGGUAAGUCCGCUGUAAAAGUCAAAGGCUCAACCUUUGAAUGUCAGUGGAUACUGCCGGGCUAGAGUCCGGAAGAGGCGAGUGGAACUCCUGGUGUAGCGGUGGAAUGCGCAGAUAUCAGGAAGAACACCACGGCGAAGGCAGCUCGCUAGGACGGUACUGACGCUGAGACGCGAAGCGUGGGGAGCGAACAGG